AACGCGAAGAACCUUACCUACCCUUGACAUGCCAGGAAAUUUGCAGAGAUGCGAAGGUGCCGAAAGGAACCUGGACACAGGUGCUGCAUGGCUGUCGUCAGCUCGUGUUGUGAGAUGUUGGGUUAAGUCCCGUAACGAGCGCAACCCUUAUCCUUAGUUGCCAACAUGUGAUGGUGGGGACUCUAAGGAGACUGCUGGUGAUGAACCGGAGGAAGGCGGGGACGACGUCAAGUCAUCAUGGCCUUUAUGGGUAGGGCUACACACGUGCUACAAUGGGCAGUACAGAGGGUAGCCAACCCGCGAGGGGGAGCCAAUCCCAGAAAGCUGCUCGUAGUCCGGAUUGGAGUCUGCAACUCGACUUCAUGAAGUCGGAAUCGCUAGUAAUCGCGAAUCAGAAUGUCGCGGUGAAUACGUUCCCGGGCCUUGUACACACCGACGCAC
rnacentral:rRNA from 1 species